GUGAGUAGUUCAGAGUUUGAUCCUGGCUCAGGAUGAACGCUGGCGGCGUGCCUAACACAUGCAAGUCGAACGGACGAGAAGAGCUUGCUCUUCGAGUUAGUGGCGGACGGGUGAGUAACGCGUGAGCAACCUGCCUUUCAGAGGGGGAUAACAUCGGGAAACCGGUGCUAAUACCGCAUGAUGUGCGAGAACCGCAUGAUUUUCGUACCAAAGGAGCAAUCCGCUGAAAGAUGGGCUCGCGUCUGAUUAGAUAGUUGGUGAGGUAACGGCCCACCAAGUCGACGAUCAGUAGCCGGACUGAGAGGUUGAACGGCCACAUUGGAACUGAGAUACGGUCCAG
rnacentral:rRNA from 1 species